rnacentral:rRNA from 1 species
AUACGUAGGGGGCGAGCGUUGUCCGGAAUGAUUGGGCGUAAAGGGCGCGUAGGCGGCCCGGUAAGUCUGGAGUGAAAGUCCUGUUUUUAAGAUGGGAAUUGCUUUGGAUACUGUCGGGCUUGAGUGCAGGAGAGGUAAGUGGAAUUCCCAGUGUAGCGGUGAAAUGCGUAGAGAUUGGGAGGAACACCAGUGGCGAAGGCGAAUUACUGGACUGUAACUGACGCUGAGGCGCGAAAGUGUGGUGAGCAAACAGGAUGAGAUACACUGGUAGUCCACCCUGUAAACGAUGAACGCUAGGUGUAGGGGGUAUCGACCCCUGCGGGGCCGCAGUCAACACAAUAAGCAUUCCGCCUGGGGAGUACGGCCGCAAGGUUGAAACUCAAAGGAAUUGACGUGG